CACAUAAAAUCACUAUAUACUGUGGACUACAAAUGGGCCCAGUCACUGCUGCUGAGAGCUGUAAGCCUCCGCCAACCACAAAGCUGACUUCCAGGCAGGUCAUGCCACUUGGACAGAAUGAGAGCACAAUAUCAAAACUCCAAGAAACUGACAUGCUAUGUUGGUUUGCUGUGACCGAGGGGCUGCUGCUGCUGCUGCUGCUGCCGUUUAGUUGCUAAGCCCUGUCUGACUCUCUGUGACCCCACGGACUGAAGCCCGCCAGGCACUUCUGUCCAUGAAAUGCUCCAGGCAAGAAUACUAGAGUGGAUUGCCAUUUCCUGCUCCAGGGGAUCUUCCCCACCCAGGGAUCCAACCCAUGUCUCCUGCUUGGCAGGCAGAUUAUUUACCACUGAGCUACAUGGAAAGCCUCAUGACCCAGGGAAGAGAUAUGCAAAACACCCACGUUUAUUUGAACUGACUCUGAAACUCCAUUUCCAGUCAUUUAGCAAGUCUAGCUCAGCAGUCUGCCAUGGAGCAUCAGUACUGGAUUGUUCCUCAAUCUCGUCACGCCUCCCUGUGACUUGUCCUCCCAGUGCACUCUGCAGAGGCUGCUGUCUCCUCUAUUUCCUAUUCCUGGGCUGCUGGAUCUGUUACUUUAAACAGAAUGAGAAACAGCUGAUUUGCUAUCUUUCUCUUCUUAAAGGCACUUCAAAGUCAUUACUUUAUGGAAGCUACCAUAUAAAUCUCCUCUCUUGUUAUUCUUCUGAAUAUCUUCUCCUUUAACUUUCUGUAUGUCCUUUCCUAAUCUUCCAUACUACGUUGAAAAGUAGCCAGCCUCUCCUGAUAAUGUGCUAUUGAUGGAUCUGCACUAGUCUAUUCCCAGCCCCUUAUAAAUCUUACUUGAAACAAUAAAAGUAUUCAUAAGAUCAUUUCCUGAAUAUAUUACAUUUAAUCUAAAAUUUAACUCAUUUCUCCAUUUGCAUCAAUCUAUGUCUUCAAGUUUAAAAACAUUUCAAUUUAACUGCCUCCACAAAAUGGCAAUAAGAAAUAUUUCAUUAUCCCUAGAUGGAUGUGAUGUUUCAAUAUUUUUGGUUGUUUUUUUUUUUUACAUUAAUAAACUCUU